GCAAUAUUUUAAGACUAUCUAAAUCGAAAUAAUUAAUUUACAAGGUAAGCAGAAACAAUUGGUUAUGCAAGGAUAUUUGAAUGGGUUCUUGAAGAGGUUGAACAGAAACCGUAUGAUGGUUGUUUAAUUUUAUGUUCUCGUAAUAAUAAUCUUAUGAAAGUUUAAAAAGC